CGCAGAUACUUUAGUCAAGUUCACUUUCACUUCCUCCUGGACGGGUUUCUGUGCGGAACUCCGUGUUAAGGCGAUUGCAGCAGUUUUUAAACCGCCAGCAGCUCCGUUUCUGGUCAAAAGCGCCGCAGAUAAUUCCCGUUAACGGACUCACAGCUGGAACUGAAGGACGAAGGAGCCGACGGUUCGACGCGUCCAGAUGUUGGAGCGGAGUCGGUGAAUUAGCAGCAGUUCAGAUGAAGGUAGAAGGUGUGUGAGCUGAUGUGAAUCCAGCAGCAUGGAUCAGUGUGAGGACAGAGAGGAGGGAGUCCUUCCCUCCAAAACCUCCCCGAGGGGAAAACCUGGGAGUCGGAGAGAAGAAGAGAGGUGAGAUGAUCUAACUGUCCAUGACUCUUCUGCACGUCAGAGUUCAGCCCUCACGUCACCAAACACCUUUAUUACAGGAGACCUGGACCUGGACCUGGACCUGGACCUGGAAAUGAACCUGGACCUGGACCUGGACCUGGACCUGGACCUGGACCUGGACCUGGACCUGGACCUGGACCUGAGCCCAGCUGUGUGUCCUUGAAGAGUGACAGAUCAAGGGAUUUUUUUUAUUAUUUUAAAGAUACCCAACGUUCUCUCUCAGUGAGAGUGGACCAGCAGAUCUCAGAGUCCCCCAGUGGUCCGUCUGUCCAGCAGCAUCAGACCCGGCUGGACUCCAUCUUUCAG